rnacentral:lncRNA from 1 species
AAAUUCCGAGGAACAUAUUUUAUUCGAGUGGGAAAAUGGGUAUAAAAUAACAGAUAUAAAAAAAAAAAAAAUAUGCAUAUUGUUUAUAUAUAUAGCUUUUUUCAUCCUCCGUUUAUAUAUUCAUUUAUUUGUUCAUUUGUUUAUUUGUCCAUUUGCCCACUUGUUUGUUUGUCCAUUUGCCCACUUGUUUGUUUGUCCAUUUGCCCACUUGUUUAUUUGUCCAUUUGCCCACUUGUUUAUUUGUUCGUUUCUUUUAUUCAUUUUUACAACACAUUUUCCUUAAAAUUUUAAAUGCAUGAUUAGCACUCAAAAUAUAUAUUUUGAAUACAACGAACAAAACAGCACCAUUACCAAACAAUCUACUGAUGUGUCAAAUAUAAAACCUAUAGGAAAUUGUGAAAAUAGCAAAUGGUCAACAGAAAGAAAAAACAACUUUAUUUUUGAAAAAUUUAAAAACAAACAUAGCAUUCUGCACUCUCUAUCAACGUUACGAAGUGAUUUGAAAUCCAUUGCAAAUCACAAUAUGAAAGAUUUUUUAAACGAUGACAUUAUAAAACCUAACAAAAUCCCAAUGUUAUGGAUCUAUGACUACAGGAUGAUUUACUCAACGUUAAAAAAAAAAUAUAAUAAAAAAUAUGCAAAAUAAAAUAGUUUACCAUUUAUUUAUUUUUCUUUAUAUUUGCCCAUUUUUUCUUUUUAUCCUUUUUCUUUUUUACAGAAAUUAUACUGAUGAACAAAUAAUUAAAAAAGAUAUUAAGUUUAUAAACAACAUUUUAUCGUAAUAUUUUAAAUGUAUUAUUUUUUUUUAAUAUUUAAAAAAUUAUUAAUUUUUUAAAAUAUUGUAGUGUACAUUUUUAUUACAUUUCACUAAACAUCUUGUUUGCAAUUGUUAUUAAGUACUAGACCUCACUAUCUUGUAUAUAUUUUUCUAGUAUAUAUAUUUAUAUAUACAUAUACGUGUGUUGUAAUGUAUAUAUUUUUGUUUAGACAUGUCACAUAAGCGCUCUUGAGUGGACAUUCACUGUUUAAUCGAUUUUAGUCUAUUUAAUAAAAUACUUAUAUUUUUUUAAUUCA